rnacentral:rRNA from 1 species
UACGUAGGGUGCAAGCGUUAAUCGGAAUUACUGGGCGUAAAGCGUGCGCAGGCGGUUGUGCAAGUCAGAUGUGAAAUCCCCGGGCUUAACCUGGGAAUGGCAUUUGUGACUGCACGGCUAGAGUGUGUCAGAGGGGGGUAGAAUUCCACGUGUAGCAGUGAAAUGCGUAGAUAUGUGGAGGAAUACCGAUGGCGAAGGCAGCCCCCUGGGAUAACACUGACGCUCAUGCACGAAAGCGUGGGGAGCAAACAGG